rnacentral:rRNA from 1 species
UACGGGGGGGGGGCAAGCGUUUGUUCGGAAUUACUGGGCGUAAAGGGCUCGUAGGUGGCCAACUAAGUCAGACGUGAAAUCCCUCGGCUUAACCGGGGAACUGCGUCUGAUACUGGAUGGCUUGAGUUCGGGAGAGGGAUGCGGAAUUCCAGGUGUAGCGGUGAAAUGCGUAGAUAUCUGGAGGAACACCGGUGGCGAAGGCGGCAUCCUGGACCGAUACUGACACUGAGGAGCGAAAGCCAGGGGAGCAAAACGGG